CCUACGGGGGGCAGCAGUGGGGAAUAUUGGGCAAUGGGCGCAAGCCUGACCCAGCAACGCCGCGUGAAGGAAGAAGGCUUUCGGGUUGUAAACUUCUUUUGUUAGGGAAGAGUAGAAGACGGUACCUGACGAAUAAGCCACGGCUAACUACGUGCCAUCAGCCGCGGUAAUACGUAGGUGGCAAGUGUUGUCCGGAUUUACUGGGUGUAAAGGGCGUGUAGGCGGGUUGACAAGUCAGAUGGGAAAUCCUGCGGCUUAACCGCAGAACUGCAUUUGAAACUGGUGGUCUUGAGUACUGGAGAGGCAGAUGGAAUUCCUAGUGUAGCGGUGAAAUGCGUAGAUAUUAGGAGGAACACCAGUGGCGAAGGCGGUCUGCUGGACAGCAACUGACGGUGAGGCGCGAAAGCGUGGGUAGCAAACAGGAUUAGAUACCCUUGUAGUC
rnacentral:rRNA from 1 species